rnacentral:misc_RNA from 1 species
UCCCGGUUGGCCCGGGCGGUCUCGCGUGAAAAAUACAACACACGACAAGGGUUGCGCUCGUUGCGGGACUUAACCCAACAUCUCACGACACGAGCUGACGACGGCCAUGCAGCAUCUGUCACCGAUCCAGCCAAACUGACCUCCUUGUUUCCAAGGAGUACGAUCGGGAUGUCAAGGCCAGGUAAGGUUCUACGCGUAGCAUCGAAUUAAACCACAUGAUCCACUGCUUGUGCGGAGCCCCGUCAAUUCCUUUGAGUUUUAGCCUUGCGGCCGUACUUCCCAGGCGGCACACUUAACGCGUUAGCUUCUCCGCACGGGGGGUUGAUACCCUAUACGAAUAGUGUGCAUCGUUUACGGCGUGGACUAC